GGUGCUGUGGCUCAAGUGGUAGAGCGCUAGCCUUGAGCAUGAGGUCCUGGGUUCGAUUCCUCAGCACCA
rnacentral:tRNA from 1 species